GGAAGACACACUGACCUUUUCCCUCAUGGCUUGCGUGUGACGCAGCAGCCAACACUCGACGAGCGGCCAGGGCAACUGGAGACAGCGACAUCUGCAGAGGACGAGAGGGAGGAGAAAGAAAGUCUGAUAAACACGAGCACUUUGAGUUUCGGGCUGCAGUGCAAACAGCAUCCAGAGCCAGCAGUGAUGUCAGCUGCUCAUGCAAGCAGCCAGUCUGAACGUCUAGCUCUUGUGUUAUUGUGGGCAGAUGUUAAACACCAUCUCACUUUGAGGGCCUCGUGCACAGACACGCACUGGCAGAUGGACACGCAGAGGUGCAGCGUGCAUGUGCUGCAGGUGUUCUGCUGGAGCUGCUGAGGAGUGUCCACCGCUUCCUCCUGAGCUGAGAGUCUCUCCAGUAGUAAACACAGCAGUUCUUGUUGCCAGGACGAUGGGCGGCCACAUACAGACUGACUCAACAGGUCUCUACCUGAACCUCUGCAUCAGGUUCAGGUAGAGACCUCCAUCAGUGGGUGUGUGGAGUUUAUACAUACAGCUGGAGGAAACACUGUAGACUCGACACAGCAAAGUGCACAGGACAGACACAUAAUCAUAAAGUAAAUACACAUUUAUAUUUUUCACAAGUGUUAUGGUUUUGCUUUUCCUGACUCUGUCCUGAUGUAGUCAGUUUAACACCACUUAUACAUAUUUUAAGUUCACAGAAUAAGGGGUUUAGUUCAGAUGGGUUUACCCUCCACAACAUCCCUUAACACCCACACAAGCCUGUCUGUAUAUACAUGAUGCCAAGAGAAAGACAACUGUGGAUUGUGUGUGAUGCAGUAAGUGUGUGUGAUGUUGGACAGGGGUGAAAGCAGCCUGUGCCAGUUGUAACAGUCUGUCCUGUGUUUUCCCUCGUAAAUCUGUGUGGCUCCCGCUUUUCUGGGCACUUACCGUAUUCCUGUGUUCACUUCAGAGGAACUCACAUCUAAACGCUUUAUUGAACUUAUACUUUUUUUUGGACAGAGACAUCAUGGCAGCCAUUCUUCUGCUGGUAAUGACUUUCAGGAGGUUUAAGGCAGUUUAGAACCAAAACUGAACCCAAAACAUGGCUUCAAAUCACUAGAAGGACACUGCUUUACUGUUUCAUUCUCCUUAAUUUUUUACAGGGUAAACUUGAGACAUUAAUGUGAGAUGGACAAUGUGUACAAUCACUUAAUGGAAGAUUGUUGGAAAAUUCCCAGUGUUGUGAAAUGGAGGAGGAACAGGUUUUUUUUUGCUGUUAAGAAGUGGUAGAGGAGCUAUCAUAAAAAUAAUAUCAAUACAGUAACAAAGUAAGAAGAAAGAAAGAAAGUGACAUACAAACAUAAAGUAACACAGGAAGUGAUCUAUAGCCUUCACUUUAGACUCAGCAACAGUAAAAAUAGUAAAACAGCCACAGCCACUCUGUAGUGACGCAUUCUUACCAAGCCAGAGUGUAGUGUUAUACAGCCAAAGCAAAUUUGAAAAGCUGGCUUCACAGAAAUGACACAUUCCUAUGGAAAUCAAUUUUUUAAUAAGUUAAAACAAAUGUCAGAAAGUCAGAUACAGGCUAUAACUCAGUCUUGGUCAAAUAUUCUGUGUCUCUACCAGCAACACCAGCUGCUGAUGACAGAAUAAAUCUGGCCUCCACAACCUGAAAGUCCUGUUUUCCUCUCAGACUCAUUCACUUAUUUUAUUUGAACUUAAUCUUAAGUCGUAUCAGACGUCUAACACUGCUGCCUGAUGCAAUACAACACAGAAGAACGUCUUCUAAUGCUUCUAAUCUG